rnacentral:rRNA from 1 species
AUGGGGUGACUGCGUACCUUUUGUAUAAUGGGUCAGCGACUUAUAUUCUGUAGCAAGGUUAACCGUAUAGGGGAGCCGUAGGGAAACCGAGUCUUAACUGGGCGAAUGAGUUGCAGGGUAUAGACCCGAAACCCGGUGAUCUAUCCAUGGGCAGGUUGAAGGUUGGGUAACACUAACUGGAGGACCGAACCGACUAAUGUUGAAAAAUUAGCGGAUGACUUGUGGAUGGGGGUGAAAGGCCAAUCAAACCGGGAGAUAGCUGGUUCUCCCCGAAAGCUAUUUAGGUAGCGCCUCGUGAAUUCAUCUUCGGGGGUAGAGCACUGUUUCGACUAGGGGGUCAUCCCGACUUACCAACUCGAUGCAAACUGCGAAUACCGAAGAAUGUUAUCACGGGAGACACACGGCGGGUGCUAACGUCCGUCGUGAAGAGGGAAACAACCCAGACCGCCAGCUAAGGUCCCAAAGUCAUGGUUAAGUGGGAAACGAAGUGGGAAGGCUCAGACAGCCAGGAUGUUGGCUUAGAAGCAGCCAUCAUUUAAAGAAAGCGUAAUAGCUCACUGGUCGAGUCGGCCCGCGCGGAAGAUGUAACGGGGCUAAACCAUGCACCGAAGCUGCGGCAGCGAACGUAUCACUUAAAUUUGUUUGAAUGAAUAACGAUUGACAGAACGAAGUGACGUCAAUGCGUUAAUGAAAGUCGAGGCGAAAGCACGACAAAGCGAAUUUAAGGAUACGUUCGUUGGGUAGGGGAGCGUUCUGUAAGCCUGCGAAGGUGUACUGUGAGGUAUGCUGGAGGUAUCAGAAGUGCGAAUGCUGACAUAAGUAACGAUAAUGCGGGUGAAAAACCCGCACGCCGGAAGACCAAGGGUUCCUGUCCAACGUUAAUCGGGGCAGGGUGAGUCGACCCCUAAGGCGAGGCUGAAAAGCGUAGUCGAUGGGAAACGGGUUAAUAUUCCCGUACUGGUGGUAACUGCGAUGGGGGAACGGAGAAGGCUAGGUUGUCCGGGCGACGGUCGUCCCGGUUCAAGCAGGUAGGCAGAGUGAUUAGGCAAAUCCGGUCACUUAAUGCUGAGAUGUGAUGACGAACCACUAAGGUGGUGAAGCAAUUGAUGCCCCGCUUCCAGGAAAAGCCUCUAAGCUUCAGGUUACCAACAAUCGUACCCCAAACCGACACAGGUGGUCAGGUAGAGAAUACUCAGGCGCUUGAGAGAACUCGGGUGAAGGAACUAGGCAAAAUGGUGCCGUAACUUCGGGAGAAGGCACGCUGGCGGUAGGUAAAGUCCCU